GUGCCUGUGGCUCAGAGGAGUAGGGCGCUGGCCCCAUAUGCCAGAGAUGGCGGGUUCAAACCCAGCCCUGGCCA
rfam:Otolemur garnettii contig079994, whole genome shotgun sequence.